UAUAAGCGCCAUGUACCUGCAGUGAAAUGCUCAAAAACAGAGAUGAAAUGGCAGGUUAACGAGGAGGAGAGUGAUCGAAGAUUCGGCGGAUGCUCUUCCGUACACUUCCAGUGCGAGAUAUAUCGGCAAAUAUGCAGGUGACUGCAAAACAAAUACGAUAU
rnacentral:ncRNA from 1 species